rnacentral:rRNA from 1 species
CCUACGGGUGGCUGCAGUCGAGAAUCAUUCACAAUGGGGGAAACUCUGAUGGUGCGACGCCGCGUGGGGGAAUGAAGGUCUUCGGAUUGUAAACCACUGUCAUGUGGGAGCAAAUUAAAAAGAUAGUACCACAAGAGGAAGAGACGGUGAACACUGUGCCAGCAGCUGCGGUAAUACAGAGUUCUCAAGCGUUGUUCGGAAUCAUUGGGCGUAAAGCGUGUGUAGGAUGUUUCGUAAGUCGUGUGUGAAAGGCGCGGGCUCAACCCGCGGACGGCACAUGAUAACGAGAGACUAGAGUAAUGGAGGGGGAACCGGAAUUCUCGGUGUAGCAGUGAAAUGCGUAGAUAUCGAGAGGAACACUCGUGGCGAAGGCGGCUUCCUGGACAUUAACUGACGCUGAGGCACGAAGGCCAGGGGAGCGAAAGGAAUUAGAUACCCUGGUAGUC